rnacentral:rRNA from 1 species
UAAUACGGAGGAUCCAAGCGUUAUCCGGAAUCAUUGGGUUUAAAGGGUCCGUAGGCGGUCUAAUAAGUCAGUGGUGAAAGCCCAUCGCUUAACGAUGGAACGGCCAUUGAUACUGUUAGACUUGAAUUAUUGGGAAGUAACUAGAAUAUGUAGUGUAGCGGUGAAAUGCUUAGAUAUUACAUGGAAUACCAAUUGCGAAGGCAGGUUACUAUCAAUAUAUUGACGCUGAUGGACGAAAGCGUGGGGAGCGAACAGGAUUAGAUACCCUGGUAGUCCACGCCGUAAACGAUGGAUACUAGCUGUUCGGAGCAAUCUGAGUGGCUAAGCGAAAGUGAUAAGUAUCCCACCUGGGGAGUACGUUCGCAAGAAUG